rnacentral:rRNA from 1 species
UACGAAGGGAGCUAGCGUUGUUCGGAAUCACUGGGCGUAAAGCGCACGUAGGCGGAUGUGUCAGUCAGGGGUGAAAUCCCGGAGCUCAACUUCGGAACUGCCUUUGAUACAGCACGUCUGAGUCCGAUAGAGGUGGGUGGAAUUCCUAGUGUAGAGGUGAAAUUCGUAGAUAUUAGGAAGAACACCGGUGGCGAAGGCGGCCCACUGGAUCGGUACUGACGCCUGAGGCACGAAAGC